CUUCAGCAUGGAAUAAUAAGAUACGACCUUGGUGGUCUAUUUUGUUGGUUUGCACACCAGGGUAAUGAUUAAUAGGGACAGUUGGGGGUAUUCAUAUUUCAGCGUCAGAGGUGAAAUUCUUGGAUCGUUGGAAGAUGAGCUUAGGCGAAAGCAUUUACCAAGGAUGUUUUCAUUAAUCAAGAACGAAAGUUAGGGGAUCGGAAGAUGAUUAGAUACCAUCGUAGUCUUAACCAUAAACUAUGCCGACUCGGGAUUGGCAGUCGUUUACUUU
rnacentral:ncRNA from 1 species